CUUUAGAUGAGAGCAUAAAAGAAAAAACAAAUAUAACAGUGAAAGGAAAAAGCAUGAUGCAUUUCGCAAGUUGCUUGAAGAACAUGUUGCUACUGGAUUUUCUUACUGUUAAAACUCAAUGGUGAUAUGAUAUGUUACAAUGAAAGAUGGAAUAACAGGGAAAGAAAAAUAAGAUAUGUUUUUUCCUCUUUAUGUAGGUCAGGGAUUUACCUCAAUAUCAAGCUGUUGCAUCAAAUACACUGGGUUUCGCCCCAAAAGAUUUGUCUGAGGAUGCUGCAGAGGAUCUUGAGAAACAGGAUAGAGCCACUUGUCGGUAAAGAAUACAUCAGCCCGCGACCAGUUUUGAUUCCAUAUCACAGAGGAGGGAAAAGGUUGUACAUUGGAUUUCAGAAAUUUACAGAAGACAUAGCAGUUCAAACUCAGUCAGUAAAGAAGUAAAGAAUUAUAUGAAAUCUGCAAGGGUGAGCUCCUAUUUUUUGUACAGAAGAAUGACUAAAGGAUGAAACUUAUUGCAGGCAAACUCAAAUCAAAGUGGGAAGGGUUACACACAGUGGUCAACGUAUUCCCGCAGUAGAGAUCAGAAAAUCAGAAGUCAAUGGUCACCAAUUGAAUAUCUUUUAGGAGAAUACCAUCGAAGUUGAGAUUCAUGAUGGCCCGCACAAUGUGAUCAAGAAUUAGGACUACACUCAUUUUGUGGAAGCCAUCCAUAAUGGACAAGGCAAA